UCCACGCCGUAAACGAUGUCUACUAGCCGUUGGGAGACUUGAUUUCUUAGUGGCGCAGCUAACGCAAUAAGUAGACCGCCUGGGGAGUACGGCCGCAAGGUUAAAACUCAAAUGAAUUGACGGGGGCCCGCACAAGCGGUGGAGCAUGUGGUUUAAUUCGAUGCAACGCGAAGAACCUUACCAGGUCUUGACAUCCUGCGAAUUUUC
rnacentral:rRNA from 1 species